rnacentral:rRNA from 1 species
GAUGAACGCUGGCGGCGUGCAUAACACAUUCAAGUCGAACGGUGACGAGGACUUCGGUCCUCUGAUCAGUGGCGGACGGGUGAGUAACGCGUGAGCAACUGCCCUAUAUUGCGGGAUAACAACCGGAAACAGUUGCUAAUACCGCAUGACGUAUUCGGAUCGCAUGUUCUGAAUACCAAAGUAAUUUUGAUAUAGGAUGGGCUCGCGUCCGAUUAGAUAGUUGGUGGGGUAACGGCCUACCAAGUCGACGAUCGGUAGCCGAACUGAGAGGUUGAUCGGCCGCAUUGGGACUGAGACACGGCCCAGACUCCUACGGGGAGGCAGCAGUGGGGGAUAUUGCACAAUGGAGGAAACUCUGAUGCAGCAACGCCGCGUGAGGGAAGACGGUCUUCGGAUUGUAAACCUAAGUUAUCAGGGACGAUUAUGACGGUACCUGAAGAGAAAGCUCCGGCUAACUACGUG